rnacentral:piRNA from 1 species
UGAUUCUCUUCUCCAGACUUUUUGCCACAA